rnacentral:rRNA from 1 species
CGCGUAGGCGGCUAUUUAAGUCUGAUGUGAAAUCCCCGGGCUCAACCUGGGAAUGGCAUCGGAUACUGGGUAGCUAGAGUGCAGUAGAGGAAGGUGGAAUUCCAGGUGUAGCGGUGAAAUGCGUAGAGAUCUGGAGGAACACCAGUGGCGAAGGCGGCCUUCUGGACUGACACUGACGCUGAGUGCGAAAGCGUGGGGAUCAAACA